rnacentral:rRNA from 1 species
CCGUGGCCGCCUGCAUAGGCAUGCAGUCGACGGAGUUCUUAGCUUUUUCGAGAACUUAGUGGCGAAAGGGUGAGUAACACGUGGGUUACCUACCCUAGGGUGUGGGAUAACCUGUCGAAAGACGGGCUAAUACCGCAUACGUCCUACGAUUUUCGAAUCGUAGGGGAAAGAUGGGGAUCCGUAAGGACCUAUCACCCUUGGAUGGGCCCGCGGCCUAUCAGCUAGUUGGUGAGGUAAUGGCUCACCAAGGCUAAGACGGGUAGCUGGUCUGAGAGGAUGGUCAGCCACACUGGAACUGAGACACUGUCCAGACACCUACGGGUGGCUGCAGUCGAGAAUCUUUCGCAAUGGGGGCAACCCUGACGACGCGACGCCGCGUGGAGGAUGAAGGUCUUCGGAUUGUAAACUCCUGUCAGCUGGGAGGAAUGGGUGACUGGUUAAUAACCGGUCGCCGUGACAGUACCAGCAGAGGAAGCCACGGCUAACUCUGUGCCAGCAGCCGCGGUAAUACAGAGGUGGCAAGCGUUGUUCGGAUUUAUUGGGCGUAAAGGGUCCGUAGGCGGCUUAGAAAGUCGGAUGUGAAAUCCCACGGCUUAACCGUGGAACUGCAUUCGAAACUUCUAAGCUCGAGUGUGAGAGGGGCAAAGGGAAUUCCCGGUGUAAGAGUGAAAUCUGUAGAGAUCGGGAGGAACACCAGUCGCGUAGGCGCUUUGCUGGCUCACUACUGACGCUGAGGGGCGAAAGCCAGGGGAGCAAACGGGAUUAGAUACCCCGGUAGUCCUGGCCGUAAACGAUGGACACUAGUGUUGGGAGGGUUAAACCCUUUCGGUGCCGAAGCUCACGCAUUAAGUGUCCCGCCUGGGGAGUACGGUCGCAAGGCUGAACUCAAAGGAAUUGACGG